GUGCUAACUUCAGCAGCACAUAUUGGAAUGGUAAGAGAAAUUAGCACAGCCCCUGUGCAAGGCUGACAUGAAAAUGUGUAAAGCAUUCCAUUUUUAA
ensembl:snRNA U6 U6 spliceosomal RNA